rnacentral:rRNA from 1 species
AUUGAACGCUGGCGGAACGCUUUACACAUGCAAGUCGAACGGCAGCACGGGGCAACCUGGUGGCGAGUGGCGAACGGGUGAGUAAUACAUCGGAACGUGCCCAAUCGUGGGGGAUAACGUAGCGAAAGUUACGCUAAUACCGCAUACGAUCUACGGAUGAAAGCGGGGGAUCGCAAGACCUCGCGCGAAUGGAGCGGCCGAUGUCAGAUUAGGUAGUUGGUGGGGUAAAGGCUCACCAAGCCGACGAUCUGUAGCUGGUCUGAGAGGACGAUCAGCCACACUGGAACUGAGACACGGUCCAGACUCCUACGGGAGGCAGCAGUGGGGAAUAUUGGACAAUGGGCGAAAGCCUGAUCCAGCCAUGCCGCGUGUGUGAAGAAGGCCUCGGUUGUAAGGUACACUUUAAGUACGGGGGUAGGGAAGGUACGUUAGGGGCGUAAUACCCUCGAGUGUUGACGUUACCG